AUGUUGCAGAGUUCUUGGGCUCGUGGGGGCAGACACAGGCAGGAGCUCAGGGAGAUUCCGAGAGGACUUUGGGGUGUCCAGGAGCACUUUGAGGCCACGGGCCCAGGCAACUUCCCCACCAGUACGGAACAGGGGAUGCACAGGGCCGAACUUUCCAUCUGCUGGCCCCUGCUGGUGUCCAGGAGAGAGCUGUGACCCUCCUUUUUCCUUAAGUCCUGGAGCUGAGAGUGAGAAGCCAUGGGGUGCACGUACUCGUCUCCACCCGAGGAGCCCGCUCUGAGAAGAUUCUCACUCUGUUGCCCAGGCUGGAGCACAGUGGCGUGAUCUCGGCUCACUGCAACCUCCGCCUCCCUAGUUCAAGUGAUUCUCCUGCCUCAGCCUCCCGAGUAGGACCUCCUCUGUCAGAGAGAGCAGCUUUGUGGAAAAGAUGAAGAAAACGGGGAGGAACAUCAUCGUGUUCUACGGCUCCCAGACGGGGACUGCAGAGGAGUUUGCCAACCGCCUGUCCAAGGACGCCCACCGCUACGGGAUGCGAGGCAUGUCAGCGGACCCUGAGGAGUAUGACCUGGCCGACCUGAGCAGCCUGCCAG
rnacentral:sRNA from 1 species